rnacentral:lncRNA from 1 species
GUCGUUUUCCUGUGUUUUGUCACCUCAUCUCUAGUCCCCUGAAGUAGUUUUCCUGUGUUUUGUCACCUCAUCUCUUGAUGUGUAUCAGUUCAGGAGUGUUAAUAGGAGUGUUAAUAUGUUAAUAUGUUUUAUGGAAAAAAUAGUUACAAUUUAAAUAGCCUACCUGACAACAUGUAGGCCUACUGAUUAGUAACUUUGAAAACUGCUGUCUGUCAGCAACUCAGCUCAAGUAGCAGUUCUACUAACUAGUAAUAUCUCAUUCCAGGUAUUCAUUCUCUUACUCUGUCCAUUAGAAUAAAUUAUUGUACAGAAAUACUUUAUUUUUCAGUUCUCUCCAUAUAGUGUUUUCUGCUCUGUCGUCUCAAAAUGGAUCGUGAACAAAAUAACAACUUUACUUUGUGUUUCAGCUCAGCCGUCUCCCCACCCUGAUAAUAGAGUGUUUUAUUGGUAUCUUCCACUAGAUGGCAGUAAACACCUGCUGUAACUAGACUUUACAACUAUGUGUUCGGUUUUAUACAGGCAGUGUCCCAGAGGAGGAGUGCUGAUCUAGGAUCAGGUCCCCCCUCUCCAUGUAAUCUGAUUCAUUAUGAUCUAGGAUCAGGUCCCCCCUCUCCAUGUAAUCUGAUUCAUUAUAAUCUAGGAUCAGGUCCCCCCUCUCCAUGUAAUCUGAUUCAUUAUAAUCUAGGAUCAGGUCCCUCCUCUCCAUGUAAUCUGAUUCAUUAUAAUCUGGGAUCAGGUCCCCCCUCUCCAUGUAAUCUGAUUCAUUAUGAUCUAGGAUCAGGUCCCUCCUCUCCAUGUAAUCUGAUUCAUUAUGAUCUAGGAUCAGGUCCCCUCCUCUCCAUGUAAUCUGAUUCAUUAUGAUCUAGGAUCAGGUCCCCUCCUCUCCAUGUAAUCUGAUUCAUUAUGAUCUAGGAUCAGGUCCCCUCC